rnacentral:rRNA from 1 species
AUUGAACGCUGGCGGCAUGCUUUACACAUGCAAGUCGAACGGCAGCAUGGGUGCUUGCACCUGAUGGCGAGUGGCGAACGGGUGAGUAAUACAUCGGAACGUACCCAGUAGUGGGGGAUAGCUUGGCGAAAGCCAAAUUAAUACCGCAUACAACCUACGGGUAAAAGCAGGGGACCUUAGGGCCUUGUGCUAUUGGAGCGGCCGAUGACAGAUUAGGUAGUUGGUGGGGUAAAGGCCUACCAAGCCCGCGAUCUGUAGCUGGUUUGAGAGGAUGAUCAGCCACACUGGGACUGAGACACGGCCCAGACUCCUACGGGAGGCAGCAGUGGGGAAUUUUGGACAAUGGGGGAAACCCUGAUCCGGCAUACCGCGUGUGUGAAGAAGGCCCUAGGGCUGUAAAGCACUUUUUGUUAGGGUGAAUGGGCACUUAUAGCUAAUACCUAUAGGCGCUGAUGUUACCUAAGAAUAAGCACCGGCUAACUCCGUGCCAGCAGCCGCCGU